UGAGGAAUAUUGCACAAUGGGCGAAAGCCUGAUGCAGCAACGCCGCGUGAGCGAUGAAGGCCUUCGGGUCGUAAAGCUCUGUCCUCAAGGAAGAUAAUGACGGUACUUGAGGAGGAAGCCCCGGCUAACUACGUGCCAGCAGCCGCGGUAAUACGUAGGGGGCUAGCGUUAUCCGGAAUUACUGGGCGUAAAGGGUGCGUAGGUGGUUUCUUAAGUCAGAGGUGAAAGGCUACGGCUCAACCGUAGUAAGCCUUUGAAACUGGGAAACUUGAGUGCAGGAGAGGAGAGUGGAAUUCCUAGCGUAGCGGUGAAAUGCGUAGAUAUUAGGAGGAACACCAGUAGCGAAGGCGGCUUGCUGGACUGUAACUGACACUGAGGCUCGAAAGCGUGGGGAGCAAACA
rnacentral:rRNA from 1 species